GUCGAGAAUCUUUCACAAUGGGGGCAACCCUGAUGGAGCGACGCCGCGUGGAGGAUAAGGUCUUCGGAUUGUAAACUCCUGUCAUGCGUGAACAAGGUUGCUUGGUUAAUACCUGGGCAAAUUGAUGGUAACGCAAGAGGAAGAGACGGCUAACUCUGUGCCAGCAGCCGCGGUAAUACAGAGGUCUCAAGCGUUGUUCGGAAUCACUGGGCGUAAAGGGUGCGUAGGUGGCGUGGUAAGUCAGAUGUGAAAGCCCGGGGCUCAACCUCGGAAAUGCAUCCGAUACUGCCAUGCUAGAGUACUGGAGAGGUGACUAGAAUUCUCGGUGUAGCAGUGAAAUGCGUAGAUAUCGAGAGGAAUACCAAAGGCGUAGGCAGGUCACUGGACAGUUACUGACACUGAGGCACGAAGGCCAGGGGAGCGAACGGGAUUAGAUACCCGAGUAGUCC
rnacentral:rRNA from 1 species